GCCACUGAGCAUGGUGUUAUUCUAGUUUAUAAUUCUUAUUGGGCAAACAGGUUAAGUACUUUAUGCUAAUAUAAUUAAUAGUUUUAUCUCUAAUUAAUUGUAAUGUUAGUAAUUCACGUUAUCAAAUUUGGUUAGCAAUGUUCUUCAUAAUUUAGAUUUUGUGAAAAAUAUCUUGAACGUUUAAGACUUAAGUUAUAAUAUUAACGUCUUAAGUGAACUUUUGCUUAUCAAUAAACAAGACAGUAGGUUGAGUAACUAAAGGCUAAAUACUAGGUUUAAACUAAUAACUAACGGCAAUAUUUUAAUUAUAUAAAAAUUGGCGUUCUGAAUUGUGUAGUUGAUGGUGAAGAAGUAAUAAUGUAUGUUAGAGAUGUAAGUUAGUAUUGAUAAACAUUUAUAGUGUUGUUGUACAAAUGUUAUUUUGAUUUACUAACCCCUAUUUUUUUGUUACAUAUAUAUCUUAAAAAUUGACAAUUCGGUGAAACUUUGAGUUUGAGCAUGCAAAGUGUAAUUAACAGCGUUAAGGGAAAGGCUCUUGGGGUAGCAGAGUUUUUGACACCUGUUUUGAAGGUAUCAAAGUUCAAUAAAACUGGAGUGGUAACUCCUGAAGAGGUGACCAUUUACUUCAUCACUGCCCAACAUGGCAAUUGGCAAGUGGGAACAAUGCCAAAGAGAAAACCUACCUACCUCACGAUAAACGGUUUCUUGUGACAAGAAAGUUGCCUUGUUAUAAACAAUGUAAACAGAUUGAGUACUCAAAAGAACAGAAGGUAAUUGAGGCUGAAGAUGAUGAAGGUGGUUGGAUAGACACACACAUCAUUAUACUGGAAGCAUCAAACACUCCAGCACAUCCAGGUAGAAGAGAUGAGAAUAUAGAUGCUGAAGAUAUGGAUGCUUUUGUAGAAAGUGGAAUGUUGGAUAAUGAGGACAAAAAAAGAAUGAAUAGAUGUAUUUUUAAGAGUUAUAUGAAAUUGAUCGAGAAGGGGAUGGAAAAAAGACAGUGAGGCAAGCUUAUAUGAGAAAACCACUUAACGGUAGUUGGCGUGUGGGUACAAAGACGCUUGAACAUCUGCUUAGCUGUCUGACCUACAUACAGCCAGAGUUCAUUGCCCGAGCUCUUUGUUUACGUUAAACAUGAUGAAAAAUACCCUUAGCUCACUUUCGUUAUGCUAGAAAAAAGAAAUCGAAUGGAAGCUAGUCAGAUAUGUUUGUUUUUAAUUUAAUAAGGUGUAAUUGUCAUAUUACAUAAUGAUGUUGGAGAUCACAGUUGGCAGGAGAAAUUUAGUAAGCGGAAUCGACAUUUUAAACACUAAGAAAAAUGAAUGUAGAAUAAAUGAUUUGGUAUACUACUGUGA
rnacentral:misc_RNA from 1 species